UAGAUUGGAAUGUGAUUCAUGCCGUGUAAACAGAUUUCAAAUAUGAACUAAUACGUAAAUAUCUGGAAAAAGUUUUUCGAUGCCAUUAAAUGAAUAUAUUUCUUCUCGUAGGCUUACGAUUAGUACCACCGCAAGACAGAGAAACAGACCAUAAUAGCUCGUGCGAGCUUCGCAUGUCGGCGAAGAUAAGAAACACACCAAGUUGUGUGAUUUAAAAUUUCUUGACGAUCGCCUGCUUAUGAAGCUAUAACGGAGGUCAAUGAAAGUUUUUGCGCAAAAUGCGAUAGAUUCUGAGAUUACCGAGGCCCGAAGUAACAAGGUUAGCGCAUGGUUAACAACCACGGUCGGAAACCAAAUUUUCGUCGCCCGUGACAGCUAAAAGGUACGAAAACAAAAUGAAGGUAAUCUGUAGGACAAAUACGUGGCGUUACCCACAAUCAGUUACUUACAUCACAAGUGGUACUUGAGAUGAUUUGGAACU